UUGGAGGGCAAGUCUGGUGCCAGCAGCCGCGGUAAUUCCAGCUCCAAUAGCGUAUAUUAAAGUUGUUGCAGUUAAAAAGCUCGUAGUUGAACUUCGGGGUCUACCCAUUGGUCAGGCUUAAUUGUCUGUACUGGUGAGAUGGAUCUCUACCUUCUGAGGAACUUUCAUGCCAUUUAUUUGGUGUGGUUGGAAAUCAGGACUGUUACUUUGAAAAAAUUAGAGUGUUUAAAGCAGACUAUCGUCUGAAUACAUUAGCAUGGAAUAAUGAAAUAGGACGGACUGAUUCUAUUUCGUUGGUUUCUAGGAUCACCGUAAUGAUUAGUAGGGAUAGUUGGGGGCAUUAGUAUUCAAUUGUCAGAGGUGAAAUUCUUGGAUUUAUUGAAGACUAACUACUGCGAAAGCAUUUGCCAAGGAUGUUUUCAUUAAUCAAGAACGAAAGUUAGGGGAUCGAAGACGAUCAGAUACCGUCGUAGUCUUAACCAUAAACUAUGCCGACUAGGGAUCGGACGAAGUUAAUUUUAUAAUGACGCGUUCGGCGCCUUACGGGAAAC
rnacentral:rRNA from 1 species